rnacentral:rRNA from 1 species
GUUGUAUGGUUAAGUGACUAAGCGUACACGGUGGAUGCCUUGGCAGUCAGAGGCGAUGAAGGACGUAUUAACUUGCGAUAAGCCCAGAUUAGGUAGUAAAAACCAUUUGAGUCUGGGAUUUCCGAAUGGGGAAACCCACUAGCAUAAGCUAGUAUCGCUGCGUGAAUACAUAGCGCAGCGAGGCGAACCGGGGGAACUGAAACAUCUAAGUACCCCGAGGAAAAGAAAUCAACCGAGAUUCCGAAAGUAGCGGCGAGCGAAAUUGGACUAGCCCUUAAGCUUUUUAUGCGUCAGGUGAAACUUCUGGAAAGUUGUGCGAUACAGGGUGAUAGCCCCGUAACCGGCAACGCAUUUAAAGUGAAAUCGAGUAGGGCGGGACACGUGAUAUCCUGUCUGAAUAUGGGGGGACCAUCCUCCAAGGCUAAAUACUACUGACUGACCGAUAGUGAACCAGUACCGUGAGGGAAAGGCGAAAAGAACCCCUGUGAGGGGAGUGAAAUAGAACCUGAAACCGUGUACGUACAAGCAGUAGGAGCACCUUCGUGGUGUGACUGCGUACCUUUUGUAUAAUGGGUCAGCGACUUAUAUUCAGUGGCAAGGUUAACCAUCUAGGGGAGCCGUAGGGAAACCGAGUCUUAACUGGGCGUUCAGUCUCUGGAUAUAGACCCGAAACCAGGUGAUCUAGCCAUGGGCAGGUUGAAGGUUGAGUAACAUCAACUGGAGGACCGAACCGACUAAUGUUGAAAAAUUAGCGGAUGACUUGUGGCUAGGGGUGAAAGGCCAAUCAAACCUGGAGAUAGCUGGUUCUCCCCGAAAGCUAUUUAGGUAGCGCCUCGGACGAAUACUACUGGGGGUAGAGCACUGUUAAGGCUAGGGGGUCAUCCCGACUUACCAACCCUUUGCAAACUCCGAAUACCAGUAAGUACUAUCCGGGAGACACACGGCGGGUGCUAACGUCCGUCGUGGAGAGGGAAACAACCCAGACCGCCAGCUAAGGUCCCAAAUUACUACUAAGUGGGAAACGAUGUGGGAAGGCUCAGACAGCCAGGAUGUUGGCUUAGAAGCAGCCAUCAUUUAAAGAAAGCGUAAUAGCUCACUGGUCGAGUCGGCCUGCGCGGAAGAUGUAACGGGGCUAAGUAGUAAACCGAAGCUGCGGCAAUGCACUUUAGUGCAUUGGGUAGGGGAGCGUUCUGUAAGCGGUUGAAGGUGUGUGGUAACGCAUGCUGGACGUAUCAGAAGUGCGAAUGCUGACAUGAGUAACGAUAAAGGGGGUGAAAAACCUCCUCGCCGGAAGACCAAGGGUUCCUGUCCAACGUUAAUCGGGGCAGGGUAAGUCGACCCCUAAGGCGAGGCCGAAAGGCGUAGUCGAUGGGAAACGGGUUAAUAUUCCCGUACUUCUUACAAUUGCGAUGGGGGGACGGAGAAGGCUAGGUGGGCCUGGCGACGGUUGUCCAGGUUCAAGUGCGUAGGCUGAGAAAUUAGGUAAAUCCGGUUUCUCUUAAGGCUGAGACACGACGUCGAGCUACUACGGUAGUGAAGUCAUUGAUGCCAUGCUUCCAGGAAAAGCCUCUAAGCUUCAGAUUGUAAGGAAUCGUACCCCAAACCGACACAGGUGGUCGGGUAGAGAAUACCAAGGCGCUUGAGAGAACUCGGGUGAAGGAACUAGGCAAAAUGGUACCGUAACUUCGGGAGAAGGUACGCUCUCGACGGUGAAGUCCCUUGCGGAUGGAGCUAUUGAGAGUCGCAGAUACCAGGUGGCUGCAACUGUUUAUUAAAAACACAGCACUGUGCAAAAUCGUAAGAUGACGUAUACGGUGUGACGCCUGCCCGGUGCCGGAAGGUUAAUUGAUGGGGUUAGACUUCGGUCGAAGCUCUUGAUCGAAGCCCCGGUAAACGGCGGCCGUAACUAUAACGGUCCUAAGGUAGCGAAAUUCCUUGUCGGGUAAGUUCCGACCUGCACGAAUGGCGUAAUGAUGGCCACGCUGUCUCCACCCGAGACUCAGUGAAAUUGAAAUCGCUGUGAAGAUGCAGUGUACCCGCGGCUAGACGGAAAGACCCCGUGAACCUUUACUACAGCUUGGCACUGAACAUUGACCCUACAUGUGUAGGAUAGGUGGGAGGCUUUGAAACUAGUACGCCAGUAUUAGUGGAGCCGUCCUUGAAAUACCACCCUUGUAGUGUUGAUGUUCUAACGUUGACCCCUUAUCGGGGUUGCGGACAGUGCCUGGUGGGUAGUUUGACUGGGGCGGUCUCCUCCCAAAGCGUAACGGAGGAGCACGAAGGUGGGCUAAUCACGGUUGGACAUCGUGAGGUUAGUGCAAUGGCAUAAGCCCGCUUGACUGCGAGAAUGACAAUUCGAGCAGGUGCGAAAGCAGGUCAUAGUGAUCCGGUGGUUCUGAAUGGAAGGGCCAUCGCUCAACGGAUAAAAGGUACUCCGGGGAUAACAGGCUGAUACCGCCCAAGAGUUCAUAUCGACGGCGGUGUUUGGCACCUCGAUGUCGGCUCAUCACAUCCUGGGGCUGAAGUCGGUCCCAAGGGUAUGGCUGUUCGCCAUUUAAAGUGGUACGCGAGCUGGGUUUAGAACGUCGUGAGACAGUUCGGUCCCUAUCUGCCGUGGGCGUUGGAAGAUUGAAGGGGGCUGCUCCUAGUACGAGAGGACCGGAGUGGACGAACCUCUGGUGUUCGGGUUGUGUCGCCAGACGCAUUGCCCGGUAGCUAAGUUCGGAAUCGAUAACCGCUGAAAGCAUCUAAGCGGGAAGCGAGCCCUGAGAUGAGUCUUCCCUGAUACUUUAAGUAUCCUAAAGGGUUGUUCGAGACUAGAACGUUGAUAGGCAGGGUGUGUAAGCGUUGUGAGGCGUUGAGCUAACCUGUACUAAUUGCCCGUGAGGCUUAACCAUACAACACCCAAGGGGUUU